CCUCUUGGUCCCUCCCCACAGCCUCUUCUUAGCACUUGCUGGGCGGGGAGGGGACAGCGGGAGCGCCCCCAAGCAGUGCACACCUUGCGCAUCUAUCCCGGGCUGCAGCGUCACCAUGCCUGACAACAGCUCCAUCGCCAACUGCUGUGCGGCCAGCGGGCUGGCAGCGCGCCCUAGUUGGCCCGGGUCAGCGGAGGCGGAGCCCCCUGAGACUCCCCGGGCACCCUGGGUGGCUCCCAUGCUAUCUACAGUAGUCAUUGUCACCACAGCUGUGGACUUCGUGGGGAACCUGCUUGUGAUCCUCUCGGUGCUCAGGAACCGCAAGCUGCGGAACGCAGGUAAUUUAUUUGUGGUGAAUCUGGCCUUGGCUGACCUGGUGGUAGCCCUGUACCCUUACCCACUCAUCCUUGUGGCCAUUCUCCAUGACGGUUGGGUACUUGGGGAGAUCCACUGUAAGGCCAGUGCCUUUGUGAUGGGCCUGAGUGUCAUUGGCUCUGUCUUCAACAUCACAGCCAUUGCCAUCAACCGCUACUGGUGCAUCUGUCACAGUGCGACCUACCACCGAGCCUGCAGUCAGUGGCAUGCUCCCCUCUACAUCAGCCUCAUCUGGCUUCUCACUCUGGUGGCCUUGGUGCCCAAUUUCUUUGUGGGGUCUCUAGAAUAUGACCCGCGAAUCUAUUCCUGCACCUUCAUCCAGACAGCCAGCACCCAAUACACUAUGGCUGUGGUGGCCAUCCACUUCCUCCUUCCAAUUGCUGUGGUGUCCUUUUGCUACCUGCGAAUAUGGAUACUGGUGCUCCAGGCCCGAAGGAAGGCAAAGGCUGAGAGAAAGCUACGCCUGAGACCCAGUGACCUGCGCAGUUUCCUAACCAUGUUCGCAGUGUUUGUGGUUUUCGCCAUAUGCUGGGCCCCCCUCAACUGUAUUGGCCUUGCAGUGGCCAUCAAUCCAGAGGCAAUGGCUCUUCAGAUCCCAGAAGGGCUUUUUGUCACCAGUUACUUCCUAGCUUACUUCAACAGCUGCCUUAAUGCUAUUGUUUAUGGGCUUCUGAACCAGAACUUCCGCAGGGAGUACAAGAGGAUCCUCUCGGCCCUCUGGAGCACUGGGCGCUGCUUCCAUGAUGCUUCCAAAUGCCACCUGACUGAGGAUUUGCAGGGCCCAGUGCCACCUGCUGCCAUGGCCACCAUACCUGUCCAGGAAGGUGCUCUCUAGCCUGCAUCAGCUCGUGGACCUAGCAGCAAACCUGUGAAAUGAGCAGAACGGAAUUGCUGUCAGUGCUGUUCAAUUACUUGCUCACACUGCAGCCCACAACUGGUGAACUCAAGUGACCACAGGGACAAACCUGCAGACACUCCUAAUGGCAAACUGGGCACUGGAUUCCAAUUGGCUGGGACAGAAGUCAAGCUGUACUCAUAAGAUGUCAUUUUCCCUGCCACCUUGACCUGUUACUGAAUGUUGCCUCUUCCUUGAAGGGCCAGGGGAAAAAGAUCUCUUGAUUACCUGAGCCGAAAGAUCAAAAUCUGCAGUGUUGAAGUGAGACUUCGUUCCUAUGGAAGGAGAAGUAACCUACAUCUACACUCAUCGAACAGCCACUGUAACCCAGAAAUCGCAGUUCUGAGAGUUCAGCAAUAAGAUCGAAGUCAAGAUCUCACUGACUUACGUGCACUCCCAUGUCUGUGAUGAUACUGCUCAAAAUGGCCCAGAUGUGAAAACAUCUGUUGUAUUCAAAUGUUCUGAUACCCCUUGGCACUUAGAUGAAUUUCAAGUGCUGGUUCCAUUCUUAGCAUUUUGGGUAAAAUGCUGUGGGUCAAAGUGGCUGCUUGAUUUCAGUCCAACAAAAGUGUUGAUACUCCAACCCCC